AGGACGAACGCUGGCGGCGUGCCUAACACAUGCAAGUCGAACGAGGUCCAACUAGUGGCAACACUUGUGAAGACCUAGUGGCGAACGGGUGAGUAACACGUGAGAAACCUACCCCGAAGACCGGGAUAACUCUCUGAAAAGAGUGCUAAUACCGGAUACCCCCAACUGAUCGCAUGGUCGGAUGAGGAAAUGGAUUCCGCUUCGGGAGGGUCUCGCGGCCUAUCAGCUAGUUGGUGAGGUAACGGCUCACCAAGGCGUCGACGGGUAGCUGGUCUGAGAGGACGAUCAGCCACACUGGGACUGAGACACGGCCCAGACUCCUACGGGAGGCAGCAGUGGGGAAUCUUGCGCAAUGGGCGAAAGCCUGACGCAGCAACGCCGCGUGGGGGAUGAAGGCUCUCGGGUUGUAAACCCCUUUCAGUAGGGACGAAAUCAGACGGUACCUACAGAAGAAGCCCGGCAACUACGUGCCAGCAGCCGC
rnacentral:rRNA from 1 species